GGGGGCGUAGCUCAGCUGGGAGAGCACCUGCUUUGCAAGCAGGGGGUCACCGGUUCGAUCCCGGUCGUCUCCA
rnacentral:tRNA from 1 species